ACAUAAAAAAAAAAGAGGAUAGAACAUAUUUUAUAUAACAGUGUGUUAGAAUUCAGAAAUACAGCCUGCACCCUCCAUUUGUACUCAAGCCCCCAGCCCUACGAAUGUUAGAGGCGGACCUGCUGUGUGAGGGCUGAAGCCGUGAGAGAACACAGCUUGCUUGGGAAGCUAAAAGUAGCUUGGCAAAGCCUGAGCCUAGAAUAUGAAGCAAAGGGUUCAGGAAUGCACUUGCCUGCCUCACAGUUUGAACUUCAUUCUGAAGGCAGCAGAGAGAUCGUUAGGGAUUAUGAGCUGGGGAGUAAGCCAGCAGUGGGUCUGGAGCCCUCAGAUCACAUGUGCCAAUCUGCUCUGUCCCCAGAAGAAAUACACAAGGAUUUUUCUGUUCUCUCUUCUUCACUUCGCCCCUAUCCAGAAGCAGGAAAGAAAAAGAAUGGUGUUAUCGGUUACAGCUGUAGGAGUCCAAAUAGCAAAGCCUCGUGCAGUCAGAAAAGCAAACAUCUGGGAGAAAAAAUAGCAACCCCACAUUCUUAUCUGGCCUACUCAGCUGGCCAGAGCCUGAAAUCACAGACCCAGAGAAGCCAGGUGGCCAAGCUAAAGCCCAAGAGCCCACAGACAUCAAGGACAGGACAUCUGGGAAUGGGACGAGAACAUGGUGCUGGACAGGUAAUCAAAAAACUGACAUAAACCUAGCACCUAAGAGACACACGGAGUGCUUAGAAUGAGUCUUGCUUCAUCUCCAAGGUUUGCAACGUCUCGGGUGCAGCAGAAACUCUUAGUUAUUGAUCAUUUCCCAGAGCAGGACCAGCUGGGCCGGGUGCUCAGAGCUACAGGGCAGGCCUCUCACAGCAUCCAUCAUGCACAACUGCAUGUGUCCAUAAAUCAUGGACACCGGACAAGCAGAAUCCCCCUUCAGUAGGUCUCUGUAGACGAUAUUUAUCAAACUUCAUUGCCAAGAAUAACUUGACUUCCUCAUGGGCAAUUAUCCUUCCACUACCGUAUGCGACAUGGGAGAAAAUGACAAACUCCAACAGAACUUCCCACCGACAGGGCAGCUCUUUGGAUUACUGUCCCGCCGCACCUUACAGCCAGGUAGUAGUGAUGUGACCUAAGCUCCACUUAGCAAACACCCCAAGACUUUAAUCUGUGAGCCAGUGACGUGAGAAUGGGAAAACAAUUGGGGUGCCAAUUAUUGCAGCCGCCGCCUCUGCAGCACCAAGAAACGCUGCUCUGAUGGCAGCAACUGCCCCGGGAGAAUGGCCUUGGAGAAGGAAGAUCCUUCCCACCCUUUCCCCAGCACCCUGUGCACUCCCUUCAUCCUAGCAAUAAAUCCCUAAGUGCUCCCAUAAAAUCAGCUCACUUAUCUUCUAUUUCAUGAGUAGCUCUUGCCUCCCAAACCAGCAGGUCAGCUUGAAACCCUGGAACUGCUGCCCAGAAUUGUUUGUGAAGAUGCGGAGUUUUCACACAAUCGUGGUUUAAACCAGCAAACCAGUGGUCCCUCCGUCUUUAGCUCAGUGUGUUUAACACAACACUACCUUAUGUUUCUAUGCUCUCUCCCCACAUUCCAGGGUGUGCUAAUUGUUACAGAUCGACUGGGCUAUUGCCUUACUCUGGGACAGUGGGCUCCAAAGGAAGAGGAGUUCCUUUUUUUAUUUCCCUGGAGCCCUCUGAUUCCUGCUACUAUGGCGAAAAGUGAGGGGCUGCUGACAGAAAGUCAAUUUGCUGAGGCAGAGGGGGAGUGCUCCACUGGCUCUGCUCUCUGCCCUGGGGAAUACUCUCGAGCUUGAGCAGGAAGAGAAGUCAACGCAUGGGGCAGGCGUGGGGGCCAGGACUUAGCUACUGGCUACUGAUCACAUUUGGGCAGAGAGAUUGUCAUCAAAAAUGUCAUUUUGAAAGUUAGAAAAGCAUAUACACAUAUGCAACUCAACAGAUGUUCAUACCCCUCCUCCUCUUCCUUCUACAACACUCACAGGAAACACAUGUCUGUGUUGUCCUAAGUCCAGUUACUAAUUAGCACGUUUCAGUAGCACAUUUCACGGAGGAUAGGGAGGAUUUCAAAGGGAUUCCUUCCUUUUAAGUUGAGACAGCUGGUGCUAAUUACCAAGCAGGAAAAGAAUGUGCAAACAGAACAUCCAGAAGCCCUCAGUGGAACAGAAGGCUGAGGGGUCUUUUGGUUCUAUUGUAGAAUUUUUCUGCAGUGGUUGGAAGGGGCUGCAGAUGAUCUACAUCUCCACCUUACCCCCAGGAAGCAGCUGUCCAGUUUCAUCACCCUGCAAGUAGGUGGGAAACAAAGUCCGAGAACAUGGACUCAAAGGAGAACUGGCAAGAAUGAAUUUUCUUCCCUGGAAUGUUCCUCAAACUAUGAUUUUCAAGCUUUUUCAAGGUCACUUCAGGGAGGCAAGAGAUCAUAUAAUCUACCUGUCUUACCUACUCCAAUUGCUACUGGAAAAAAACAAAAACGAAACAAAAAAUAACUUCACCAAAUGAAUGGGAAAAAAAGAGUAUUGCUGCUAAUAAAGCACCAAAGGAAGAGAUGAACAAAAUGUCCCAUAGU